GAUCCUGGCUCAGAUUGAACGCUGGCGGCAGGCUUAACACAUGCAAGUCGAGCGGAGAUGAGGUACUUGCACCUUAUCUUAGUGGCGGACGGGUGAGUAAUGCUUAGGAAUCUGCCUAUUAGUGGGGGACAACAUUCCGAAAGGAAUGCUAAUACCGCAUACGUCCUACGGGAGAAAGCAGGGGAUCUUCGGACCUUGCGCUAAUAGAUGAGCCUAAGUCGGAUUAGCUAGUUGGU
rnacentral:rRNA from 1 species